rnacentral:rRNA from 1 species
AACGUGCCCAGUAAUGGGGGAUAGCCCGGCGAAAGCCGGAUUAAUACCGCAUACGACCUUAGGGUGAGAGCGGGGGACUCGCAAGGGCCUCGCGUUAUUGGAGCGGCCGAUAUCAGAUUAGCUAGUUGGUGGGGUAAAGGCUUACCAAGGCGACGAUCUGUAGCUGGUCUGAGAGGACGACCAGCCACACUGGGACUGAGACACGGCCCAGACUCCUACGGGAGGCAGCAGUGGGGAAUUUUGGACAAUGGGCGCAAGCCUGAUCCAGCCAUGCCGCGUGUGG